CCUUCUAGAGAUAGAAGUUUCCCCUUCGGGGGACAAAGUGACAGGUGGUGCAUGGUUGUCGUCAGCUCGUGUCGUGAGAUGUUGGGUUAAGUCCCGCAACGAGCGCAACCCUUAAGCUUAGUUGCCAUCAUUAAGUUGGGCACUCUAAGUUGACUGCCGGUGACAAACCGGAGGAAGGUGGGGAUGACGUCAAAUCAUCAUGCCCCUUAUGAUUUGGGCUACACACGUGCUACAAUGGACAAUACAAAGGGCAGCGAAACCGCGAGGUCAAGCAAAUCCCAUAAAGUUGUUCUCAGUUCGGAUUGUAGUCUGCAACUCGACUACAUGAAGCUGGAAUCGCUAGUAAUCGUAGAUCAGCAUGCUACGGUGAAUACGUUCCCGGGUCUUGUACACACCGCCCGUCACACCACGAGAGUUUGUAACACCCGAAGCCGGUGGAGUAACCAUUUGGAGCUAGCCGUCGAAGGUGGGACAAAUGAUUGGGGUGAAGUCGUAACAAGGUAGCCGUAUCGGAAGGUGCGGCUGGAUCACCUCCUUU
rnacentral:rRNA from 1 species